UAGGGAAUCUUCCACAAUGGGCGAAAGCCUGAUGGAGCAACGCCGCGUGUGUGAUGAAGGCUUUAGGGUCGUAAAGCACUGUUGUAUGGGAAGAAAUGCUAGAAUAGGGAAUGAUUCUAGUUCGACGGUACCAUACCAGAAAGGGACGGCUAAAUACGUGCCAGCAGCCGCGGUAAUACGUAUGUCCCGAGCGUUAUCCGGAUUUAUUGGGCGUAAAGCGAGCGCAGACGGUUGAUUAAGUCUGAUGUGAAAGCCCGGAGCUCAACUCCGGAAUGGCAUUGGAAACUGGUUAACUUGAGUGUUGUAGAGGUAAGUGGAACUCCAUGUGUAGCGGUGGAAUGCGUAGAUAUAUGGAAGAACACCAGUGGCGAAGGCGGCUUACUGGACAACAACUGACGUUGAGGCUCGAAAGUGUGGAUAGCAAACAGGAUUAGAUACCCUGGUAGUCCACACCGUAAACGAUGAAUACUAGGUGUUAGGAGGUUUCCGCCUCUUAGUGCCGAAGCUAACGCAUUAAGUAUUCCGCCUGGGGAGUACGACCGCAAGGUUG
rnacentral:rRNA from 1 species